UACGGAAGGGGGCUAGCGUUGUUCGGAAUUACUGGGCGUAAAGCGCGCGCAGGCGGUCUUCCAAGUCAGUGGUGAAAGCCCGGAGCUCAACUCCGGAACUAGCCAUUGAAACUGUGAGACUUGAGGACGAGAGAGGUGAGUGGAAUUCCCAGUGUAGAGGUGAAAUUCGUAGAUAUUGGGAAGAACACCGGUGGCGAAGGCGGCUCACUGGCUCGUAUCUGACGCUCAGGCGCGACAGCGUGGGGAUCGAAACAAGG
rnacentral:rRNA from 1 species